AUUGAACGCUGGCGGCAGGCCUAACACAUGCAAGUCGAACGGUAGCAGGAAGAAGCUUGCUUCUUUGCUGACGAGUGGCGGACGGGUGAGUAAUGUCUGGGAAACUGCCUGAUGGAGGGGGAUAACUACUGGAAACGGUAGCUAAUACCGCAUAACGUCGCAAGACCAAAGAGGGGGACCUUCGGGCCUCUUGCCAUCAGAUGUGCCCAGAUGGGAUUAGCUAGUAGGUGGGGUAACGGCUCACCUAGGCGACGAUCCCUAGCUGGUCUGAGAGGAUGACCAGCCACACUGGAACUGAGACACGGUCCAGACUCCUACGGGAGGCAGCAGUGGGGAAUAUUGCACAAUGGGCGCAAGCCUGAUGCAGCCAUGCCGCGUGUGUGAAGAAGGCCUUCGGAUUGUAAAGCACUUUCAGCGGGGAGGAAGGGGGAAUGGUUAAUAACCAUUGCCAUUGACGUUACCCGCAGAAGAAGCACCGGCUAACUCCGUGCCAGCCGCCGCGGUAA
rnacentral:rRNA from 1 species